GAAAGUAAAGCUCAAGUGGUAGAGCGCAUGCUUAGCAUGCACGAGGUCCUGGGUUCAAUCCCCAGUACCUCCU
rfam:Camelus ferus unplaced genomic scaffold scaffold1274, whole genome shotgun sequence.